UACGGGGGGGGCAAGCGUUGUUCGGAAUUACUGGGCGUAAAGGGCUCGUAGGUGGCCAACUAAGUCAGACGUGAAAUCCCUCGGCUUAACCGGGGAACUGCAUUUGAUACUGGAUGGCUUGAGAUUGGGAGAGGGAUGCGGAAUUCCUGGUGUAGCGGUGAAAUGCGCAGAUAUCAGGAGGAACACCGGUGGCGAAGGCGGGACUCUGGGCCGAUACUGACGCUGAGGAGCGAAAGCGUGGGGAGCGAACAGG
rnacentral:rRNA from 1 species